AUGCAACGCGAAGAACUUACCUGGUCUUGACAUCCCGGAGACCCUUAGGAAACUAGGGGUGCUCCAUCUGGAAGAAUCUGGAGGACAGGUGCUGCAUGGCUGUCGUCAGCUCGUGUCGUGAGAUGUUGGGUUAAGUCCCGCAACGAGCGCAACCCUUGCCUUUAGUUGCCAGCAGUUCGGCUGGGCACUCUAAAGGGACUGCCGGUGUUAAACCGGAGGAAGGUGGGGAUGACGUCAAGUCCUCAUGGCCUUUAUGACCAGGGCUACACACGUACUACAAUGGCCGAUACAAAGGGCAGCGACACUGCGAGGUGAAGCCAAUCCCGUAAAAUCGGUCUCAGUCCGGAUUGGAGUCUGCAACUCGACUCCAUGAAGUUGGAAUCGCUAGUAAUCGUGGAUCAGCAUGCCACGGUGAAUACGUUCCCGGGCCUU
rnacentral:rRNA from 1 species